AGGGGGAGUCUUUCCGAUUUUGGUAAUGAAAAUUUCUGAAAUUCAAGAUGUGGAAAGAGUUACAUCCCUGCUGGGAGUGUGAAAACUACCACCACAUGGAGGAAAGAGCUACCACCCCAGUCGUCCGGUCAGUGUGUGCAGCUACCAUAUGUUGAUUAACGUAUAUCUCUACGACAAAAGGAAAGUACCUUUCAGAGAUAAAAAGAAAAAUGCUCAAGAA
rnacentral:lncRNA from 1 species